rnacentral:rRNA from 2 species
AUAGCGAACAAGUACCGUGAGGGAAAGUUGAAAAGCACUCUGGAGAGAGAGUCAAAAGACCGUGAAACCGUUCAGAGUAUAAGCCCAUGGCAGCUUGGAAGGCAUAUCGAUGGCGGGGCAUCGGAACCCUUCUCUCUUUACGAGGGAUUGUGAACUGGUGUUACCUUGUUUCUGUAAUGGCUCGUCAAGGUAGGGGCUUCAAGUAGUCACCGCCGUCGUGCGGGAGGUAUUCAGGCAUGUGUUGGUUUUGCAGUUGGCUUCAUUGUUGGCUGUAGGGCCCUUCGUGUUUGGUGCUUCUUUAACACGGACGUUCAGAGUCAGUAACAAGACGCGAUAAACAGCCCACCACGGCACGUUGUGAGGUCACCCACAGGCUGGACUUUGGAUUGCGAUCCUUGACGCCGAGCAAGCACAAUGCGUGUCGCUGAUAUUCCUUACCAUAAUAUAUGUGGACGGUGGAAUGACACGUGCUCAACAGUCAGGUUCGGGCCAUGACACAGUACUGGUAUGAUCCUCAUGCGACGAGCCGGCUCUGGCCAAAAUUCCGAUGCACAGGUCUUCCGCAUGUGCCGCGGUUGACCGCGCCCUUUGACGGUCUGGACGAGUUAAUUAAAGUCCUCCUAGUCGGGUGUCGGAAAGAGUGGUGUAAAGUCCAAGCCCAUCGGUCACGUCUCGAAACACGGGCCAAGGAGUAUAGCAUGUGUGCAAGUCUAAGGGUCUCACAAAACCUGAAGGCGAAGUGAAAGCAAGUAUGCGGCGGGUGAUCUA